ensembl:lncRNA
AUGAAUCUUUGUAUGCUUGUUAAGAGUCAUCUGCUACAUGUUUCCACCAAGUUUCAUAAAGUUUUUGAGUUUUCAUUUAGGUUUUAUAGGCUUUUGGGUAUAUUUGGCCACGCCCCUUUUAAAAAUGACCCAGUUAUAGCUAACCAAAGGACAAAAUUCAACAUUUUUUUGAUAAUUAUUGAUCUAGAGAGUCCAGAGAAUAUUACUGCAGUGGUUUGGUUCUGAUUGGGCGAAAAAACCUAGGACUAGUUCGCAAAAGCAGGUUUUUAACAUAUUUGUGAAUAAUUAAUGAACGAUUUGAUUGACAGCAAUGGUUCUUGAGGCAAAGUUGUGCAUUAUGAGGAGAUCUAUAAAAUGAUAUGCAUAUUGUGUGAAUCUGUGUAAACACCACGUGAUUACUGAGCCAAAAAACUCCUUAGCGCCAACUAGUGGCCGAUUUCUUUCAAAAUUCUUACAGACCUUUAGGGCCAUGAGUCGAACAUGCCCACUGAGUUUCGUUCCGAUCAACCUCUGUUAACCUUGUUUAAUAGGUGCUUAAAUUUGUUUGGCCAAUGGCGGCCAUGUUUUUUGAGAUAUGCAAAUGUCCUCAUAGACACUUGUGCCCCUUCAGACAAAGACACUGCAUACCAAUUUUCAAGUCAUCAGAGAAUGGUUGCCUAGUUAUAGCCAUUUAUGUGUUUUUUCUAUUUUUAUAGCGCCCCCAAGUGGCAGAGAUGCGCAAUUUUUUUUAUUUGACCAAAGAUUGAGCUUAUAAAAUGUGUACCAAGUUUGGUGAAGAUAUCUCAUUCCAUUCAAGAGUUAUAGCUAAAAAUAACAUUUGGCUAACGUUAGCAUAGACGCUUUUUGGCGUACUGUUUUCGCGUAGAAAUCGAAAAUUUCAACUUUUUUUUGAUAAUUAUUGAUAUUCAGUGUACAGAGAAUAUUUCUGCAGUGGUUUGGUUCUGGAUCAGGGUGAAAAAAACCUAGGACUAGUUCGCAAAAAGUAGGUUUUCGGAUAUAACACAAUUUUGCGGAAAAACCGUGCGUCGUAGAGCAAAAAUUUCGGACUCCACUUUUGUUCGGACUGACCCAAGGAUUACAACGAUGUAAAGUUUUUGAGUCUACGUCAAACGGUUUACGACUGCGGGCCAAAAAUGUCUGAAAUUUUUGUAUUUUGCGCUGUAGCGCCCCCGUUAGGCCGAUUGGGCGAGUUCUUUGCGCCUGAGUAGCGCGCAAAUGAGCUACUACCUUUCUGACCAAAGUUUCAAGCUCUCUAGGCCUUACGGUUUGGGCUGCCCGAUCAGUUUUUACGGGCGGAAGAAUAAUAAUAAUAAUAAUAAUUAAAGCUGCAAGCAGCGAUUACCGGGGUUCAAGCACAUUAAGGCCUCUGAGGUGGUCUCGGCCAACCUGGAUGUAUGGAUGACAGUUAAACACAUCCAAAAAUGGAGAACAGUCUAACAGACAGACACACACACUGAAAGUAAAUUAUUAGACUAAUAUAUUAAUACUCUAUAAGCAUAUGCACACACACACACACUAUAUACAAAGACAAAGACACACAUACAUGCACACACAUUUUGUUGCAGAUAUAGGUAUUUGAAAUAAGUGAUAGGUGACAAUAAACUUAUUGCAAGUCUUCUCUUUUUAAGAGUUUAGAUGUCAUUUUCAGGUUUAAACUGUAAUCAUAAUCUGGCCAAAAUUGUAAAAAAACUGAUAUAUCUGUAUGAACAAAAUGGAAAAACGUUGACUCAAUGAGAUUUUAAAAUGUUAUA